rnacentral:lncRNA from 1 species
ACAGUCACACCAUGUGCACAGCCGAGAGGCAAGUUUUUACACCAUUUCUCACCAACGCAUGGCAUCUCUGCUUUCUGAGUGUGACCACGGGAGUGUGAGCCAGAAUGAAGAUGGGAAUUAAAAUGAGGAGAGGACGACCCACUUUACUGAGCACUUAUUAUGUGCCAGGUACUGUGCUAGGAGUACAAGUCGGACAUGCCUGGGCCACAGCCUGGGUACCCCAUCCUACCAAUGGUGCUGGAACCUGCGGGUGGACUGCAUCGGGCCCUCUACUACCCUUACUACAAGAGGUGAAGACAUAUCUGGUAUCAUCUCCCAGGGCAUCAGAAGAACUAAAGCAGGACCUGCGUCUUGUACAUCAAGGUGACCAUAAGGUCCAAGGCCAAGAAUAUCAAAAGCACUCAAGAUCGUGUGCCAAUUCAUGUUUACAAGCCUUUGAUCCCUGUGCUCCAAACUCUGGAUGGUGUCACAGUUCAAAGAACUGAGUCCAGUUCACAAGAGUCAUUUCAAAAAGAUUUUAGUGAUAUAUUUCAAUUUGUAAUACUGUAAGAGUCUUUGCCAAGCACAGAAUACCUCUUUACCCCCCUCUUUUCCUGCCAUCUAUGUUUAAUGCAGUUAAUUAAAAAUUGUUUAUCAAUAUCAACUACACACUAAACAAGGCUCCUUGGACCACAGAUAUGGGACACACGAUUUCAUGGUCAGGACAAUCUCUGCCACAACAAAGUCCCCCAGACAAAUAUCCAACCCUGACCUGUGUGCCUCCUGUCAUCCUUUCUUUUCCCUUUCCCUCUAGUUCUUUAUUAUAAAGCCAAAAGAUUAGCCCAGUGACAAGUCAGACUGUUCCAGGAAGGCAGCAGAGAGAAAAAGCUGGGAAUCCUCACGCAUAAUUAUUUAAUCCCAUAACAAAACUACAAUGCAUCUUGAUUAUGAUGUUGUGUUUUGAAGCCCUCAAUCAGAAUUCAAACAAACUCCCAUCCCUUUUGAGAAAUGAAAGAGUAGCCACUAACCCUCAGGCAGAGAAGGAAAUGAGAAGUUUGACAAGAAUGUAAAAACCACUGCCACCAUUUAUAAUUGGAUGUUCCUUGUAGCAGGUCAUUUGUGGCAUGCGUACUGUGGGUACACUUUUCCCCUUCUUAAGGAUGACAGUUCUGUAUGAUCAGAGCCUAGAUGCAAGUUGUACUGAACAGGGAUGUAUUUGUUUGCUAUUGCUGCAUAACAAAUUACUAUAAACUUAGGUGCUUAAAGUGACACUAGUUUAUCAUUUCACAGGUUAUUGAACUGGCUUCUCUGUUCAAGGGCUCACUAGGCCAAAAUCAAGGUGUCAUUCAGGGCUGUGAGCCCGUCUAGUACUCAAGAGCCUCUUUUGAGCUCACAAGGUUGUGACUGAAUUCAUUUCCUUGCUGGCUGUAGGACUGAGGUCCUUGUUUUAUAUCUAGGUGGCAGUUGAGGGUCUAUCACAACUCCUGCAGAUCCCAGUGGUUCUUGCCAUGUGGCCUCUCAUGGGCCCUCUCAGAACAUGACAACUGACUCCUUCAAAGCCAGCAGGACAGUCUCUGACCUCGGGGAGGGCCCUAGUCCCUCUUUUAGAGGGCUCACUUAAUUGGGUUGGACCACUAAAAUAAUCUCUCUUUUAAUUCACUCAAAGUCAACUGAUUAGAGACCUUAAUCACAUCUUUAAAAUGUCUCCACCUCUGCUAUAUAACUGCAAGAUAAUCUCAGGGGUGCUAUGCCAUCACAUUCACAGGUCUUACCCAUUCUCAAAGAGGGGAGAUUUUAUGGGAUGUGUACCCCAAGAAGCAAGAAUCCUGGGGGUCAUCUUAGAAUUCUGCCUACAACAUGGGAGGGACCACCACGAUGGAACUGGCAACAAUUAAUCCCAAACUACUACAUGUGAGUGUGUGUGUGUGUAUGUGUGUGUGUGUGUGUGUGUGUGAGAGAGAGAGACACAAUCAUAAACUCAGGAACUUGGAACUGAAGAUGGGCUCCCUAAAAGUGUAAAAUCCCAUACUUAAGAUCCACAACUAUCACAUAGAAUAUUUAUUGUUUAUUUAUCAGGACAAUUCUGCAAUAGCACAUGCAUUUAAGGCUUUCACUCCCUAAAACCAAGUGAAAUCUUGAGAUAAUUCCAGUGAUAAGGACAGGAGCCCAGAUGUGCCUUUCAGCAAUGACUUUCUCUCACCUGGAAAACUACAAAGUGAAUUUGAAACCACUGGUAACACCGUGGCAGUCACAUGGAUAAGAUUUUUUUUAAAAAAGGAAGAAGAGAAACAUCAGGAGCCUUUAAGCUGUUUUCUAAAUUUGACAUCAGCAGAAUAUUUAUGUUGGCAGUAUCCUGUAAAUCGCAGCAGGAGAUUUGACAGGAGGCACUCUAUGCAUAACCCAUGUGAGCCCCAGAUCAAGAAGAGAGUAUUUGCAUAAACCGAAUCCUAGAGACCAUGUCAUCGCGAUCGUUCUCUUCCUCCUUCCUCCCUCUCCACCCUGCAAGCUAGUGGGGUUGAGUUUCCUGGGCUACCUUCCAUGAACAUCAAGGAAUGCAACAGAGAUGAAUGUUACAUUGACACCAGCAGAGCUACCACAGAAAACUGUUUGUCCACCCUUUUCAUUUCUCAGUACCAGCAAGCAUCUGAAGACUUUGCACCUGUUCUAGUUAGCCCUGGCAAAUGCAGCCUGUAUUUAUAUUAAUAGAAUGAUGUUUUCAUAACAAAAUGGAUGUGCAGCGAUCACGGACUCAUGCUGGAUGCUCUCAUAAGCGCCCAGAUCGGGGGAGGGGCAGCUCUUACAUAAAGCCCCAUGGCAAGGGGGAAAGACGCGCAAAGCCCACGCUGAAUCAUCGGACAGGUUGAGAACUUGUUCAGGAAUGGCCCGACUCGUGUAUUGGAAAUUAAAUUAGAUUCUCGAUUAAGAGGAAAAUACGCUGGAGAGAAAUGGGCUUUGCAAGGGCAGUUCGGGGCUCUGAACUCUUUUGUAUUCCGUCUCCUGUUUCUGUAAUGUGUGUCUUAUCUCCCCAGAGGGGAGCAGAAAACUGGUGAGAUCAUACUUGGCUCAAUUCCUGAAAGUUUGUUUUGAGUCACCAGUGUAAAUAUGGCCCACCCAAUCUGUACAUUUGCACAAAUUAACUGAAACCAGCUACCCAAUUCCUACUUCACUUUUGGAUCUGUUGAUUAACCCUGACAGCUGUAACCUCAUUAGUCCAAGCUCUGGCCGUUCCAGAGCAGCUGUCAAAUUAGGAAGAAGUGGACUCACUGAAGUCGCCUAUGGACCAGGCACGUUAAAAUCAAUAGACGCUCUAAAAGGUUUCAGUUUAUGAUUCUAAUUCUAAUGUAUGUGAUGCGGUGGGCUUUUCACCCAGAUCCGUAAUAUGGGCCUGAAAUCGGUUCUUUACGGAGAAACCAGAGGCUCUAUCACAAGGCAAGAACAUAGGUUUUAUCUGGAGAGUUUGGAUCUGUAUCAGUUGAAAAUGGGUUUUUAGCAUGCAUUAUAACACAGACAUUUUAAUAUAUUUGAAAAUAUUAGUUCCUAAUGUAUUUUUUGGCAUGAGAGAUUUUGUUAGUUUUGACAAGAGGCCAACAAAGUCUUGACUACAGAAAUAAGAAAAAUCUUACAGCUGGCCCUCAAUGGAAAAGUAGAGUUAAAAAGUGAGGAAAGGACUAAAACACACUCCAAUAGGAAUGCGGUUUCCCAAAAUAGAACACGGAUCCCUUCUGUAAGAAUCUCUAAGGAAGGAGUAGGGAGGGAAAUUCCCAAUGUCUUUUCUUUAAAAUCUGAAGGGCCAGGGAAGGAGAUGACUUUCCAUCCACCAAAGUGUUGCCAAGAACAGUGGAAACAGGUCAAAUGCAGUGUGUGAACUUCUCUUGCAGCAUUUUCAUUGUGGGGAGAUAGCACAGGGGAGCCGAAGAAGUUCUGAAGGAAGAAUCUGGAGACUUCAGUUCUGAUCCCAGUACUGUCCCAGUUCUGCCAAGUCCACCAGUGCGUGUUUGAACAAGUUCCUUCACCUCUCUAGAUCUCAGUAGACUCCGUUUAUAAAAUGAGGUUUUCCAGAUGAGUGAAAUGAUCCCUCUAUCUUUAAUGACUGUGGACUCUUUGCACAAAUCAUGAGAAGCUUCUCCUCCAUGGCCCAAGGUGGAUCUAGAGCUACCGAUCACGUUUCUCGAAGCAAAAACGUAUUAUACAUGCUAUGAAGAAUUUCUGAGUGGUUCUUAAAAAUGUAUGCCAGAGUGCUCAAUAAUCUGCAUAUUUUGCCCUGGGAGGUCAAAUUUGCUAAUGACAUCUGAUUAUUUCAAUGCCAACGUACCCUAAACUGAGUAAAACCCAUUUCCAUAAUGAAUAUGGUUCUGUGGCCUCUUCUUCCCAGAUUUCCAGGGUUACGCAGGUACGUAAAGAAGCUCUGAUAUGUUCUUCCCCACCAGCCCUUUUAAGUUGUUAAAUGAAUAGUGAGUGGUCCGAAGCAAAUAGAGUAGUCCUUAUACUUUAGCUUUGAUUGCUAUUUGCUAAGCAAAUAGAGUAGUCCUUAUGCUUUAGUUUUGAUUGCUAAGUGGCUAAUCCCAGAAUGCUCUUGAAAAGGAAAUGAUCAUGUCCCCAAGCUAUUUGAGAGACUGGCCUGGGUAUCAUGAAACACCCCCAAUCAUUCCCAGGAACUGAACUGAGGAAGCACCUGACCAAGGACAACCACACCUGUCAAUGACAUUUUGACAUGUUCCAGGUUAAAGAAAAGAAAAGACAGUUGGGGUCAAUCAGAUUCCUUUUCUCCAUGAUUUUAAGUAGGAAAUACCCAGACAGCAGUGAGGCCAGUUACAUACAUACAGAAAUGGCACUGUGACGGCAUGGGUCAUGACUUGCCAAAGCCACGUGCAAACCAAAGUAAUGGUCAGCCAAGCGGAGCAAUUAGCAUGAAAAAGAACAGAGUGGUUGCCCAGCUGGAACAGAGAUGCUUCAGUGAGGCUGUAAAGCCUGAGGGAAGCCUCCUAAUGAGUCUCAGAAUCACCUUCUUUCCACCUCACUUCAUUCAGUUUCGGACCAGGUAUGGCUUCCCACCAAUUUCCCAAAAGGAGAACACUUUUGCGACUUUCUUAGUAGUAAAAAUAAGAUAUCAUGAAACAAACAAAAUAUUUAAAUGCAAUAAAGGUUUUGAAAAAACAGUGUAGUACUAAUAAUGUUUUAUUAAAUAGUUAUUAGACUUCUCUUUACAUAUAUAUUAGUAUUCACAUGUGAUUUUUUCACGGCUGGUUUGUAGCUUGCAUUUUUUAACUUAAAUGUCAUGAACACAUUUCCGUGCUCAUAAAUAUAACUUUGUAAUAUUACUUCUAAUGGCUCCUGGUAUUCCAUCGUACCCAUAUACCGUAACCUCUAACAGAAACACCUUCAUGAUAGACAUUUAUAUUGUUUCCAAUUUUACUCCAUGAUAAGUAAUGUGGCAAUAAAUCUACUUGAACAUUCUAAAUAUCUUGUAAUCUAUUUUUCCUUAAUUGUAUAAGUAUUUUCUUAAGUUUUCUAAAGUGGAAUUAUUAAGACAAAUGGUAUGUGUAUUUUUGAUUCAGAGCAAAUUGUAUUUUAUAAGAUACCAAUUUUUUGCAAACCAUUGUUAACAAAAAGAACUGACCUUUUCCACUCAAAUAAGGUAAAGAAUACCAUCUCAUUCCUGUUUCAAUUUUUUAAUUAUUAUUAUUGAUAGUCCUUGACCAUUUGUAUAUCUCCUCUUGUAAAAUAUUUGUUCAUAAACUUUUUUUUUGCUAUUAAAAUACUGAGAUGUAAAUUGAUUUAAGGAAUCCUUUAUAUAAUAAGGUCAUUAAUACUUCACCUAGCAUAGAUGUUGCAAAUGUUUUCCUAGUAAGUUAUUUGCCUUUUAAGUUGUUUAUAGUCAAAAAUUGAAAAUAUUUUACACUCUUACAACAUUUUACUUUAUGAUUCCUGGUUUUCUUGGCAUACUUGAAAUGGUCUUCCAAAAAAUAUAAAAAUAUUCAUUUUAGUUUUGUUUUAGGAUGUUUAUGGAUUCACUGUUUAUGUGUGUGUAUAUAUAUACAUAUAUAUAUAUAUAUAGUCCAUCUGGAAUUUAUUCUGCCAUGAUUAAACUAAAUACUCAACUUAUGGAGUUAUCCCAGGACCACUUAUUGAAUAAUGUAUUGUUUUUCCUCUGGCUGACUUAAAAUGGUAUUUUUAUCAUGUUAAGUUCCAUGAUACAUUGGAGAAACUGGAUAUUUUUACAUUUUUACAAAUGGUAAAGCAGUUUGAUGCUAGAAUUAUAAAGGCUUAUGUUAACACUGACUGUGUAAUUUUGGACAAGUUACUAAAUCUAUUGUCUAAGCCUCAGUUUCCUUGUCUAAAAUGUGGAGAUAAUACGAAUUAAGUGAUUUAAAAGUAUACAGAAUACUUAGCCAGGCAUUUGUUAUUAAGGAAAUUUCAAUAAAAUUAUUUACUAGC